CCUACGGGAGGCAGCAGUGAGGAAUAUUGGUCAAUGGACGAGAGUCUGAACCAGCCAAGUAGCGUGAAGGAUGACUGCCCUAUGGGUUGUAAACUUCUUUUAUAUGGGAAUAAAACGUUCCACGUGUGGGAUUUUGUAUGUACCAUAUGAAUAAGGAUCGGCUAACUCCGUGCCAGCAGCCGCGGUAAUACGGAGGAUCCGAGCGUUAUCCGGAUUUAUUGGGUUUAAAGGGAGCGUAGGUGGAUUGUUAAGUCAGUUGUGAAAGUUUGCGGCUCAACCGGAAAAUUGCAGUUGAAACUGGCAGUCUUGAGUACAGUAGAGGUGGGCGGAAUUCGUGGUGUAGCGGUGAAAUGCUUAGAUAUCACGAAGAACUCCGAUUGCGAAGGCAGUUCACUGGACUGCAACUGACACUGAUGCUCGAAAGUGUGGGUAUCAAACAGGAUUAGAUACCCUUGUAGUC
rnacentral:rRNA from 1 species